CCAAAAAGCGGAGGAAAAGAAACCAACUGGGAUUGCCUUAGUAACGGCGAGUGAAGCGGCAAAAGCUCAAAUUUGAAAUCUGGUACCUUUGGUGCCCGAGUUGUAAUUUGGAGAGUACCACUUUGGGACUGUACUUUGCCUAUGUUCCUUGGAACAGGACGUCAUGGAGGGUGAGAAUCCCGUGUGGCGAGGGUGUCAGUUCUUUGUAAAGGGUGCUCGAAGAGUCGAGUUGUUUGGGAAUGCAGCUCUAAGUGGGUGGUAAAUUCCAUCUAAAGCUAAAUACAGGCGAGAGACCGAUAGCGAACAAGUACAGUGAUGGAAAGAUGAAAAGAACUUUGAAAAGAGAGUGAAAAAGUACGUGAAAUUGUUGAAAGGGAAGGGCAUUUGAUCAGACAUGGUGUUUUGCGCCCCUUGCCUCUCGUGGGCUUGGGACUCUCGCAGCUCACUGGGCCAGCAUCGGUUUUGGCGGCCGGAAAAAACCUAGGGAAUGUGGCUCUGCGCCUCGGUGUAGAGUGUUAUAGCCCUGGGGAAUACGGCCAGCCGGGACCGAGGACUGCGAUACUUGUUAUCUAGGAUGCUGGCAUAAUGGUUAUAUGCCGCCCGUCUUGAAACAACGGACC
rnacentral:rRNA from 1 species